AACGUAGGAGACAAACGUUAUCCGGAGUUACUGGGCGUAAAGGGCGUGUAGGUGGUUACGUAAGUCUGGCGUGAAAUUUCUCGGCUUAACCGAGGCAGGUCGUCGGAUACUGCGAGACUAGAGGACGGUAGAGGCGUGUGGAAUUCCGGGUGUAGUGGUGAAAUGCGUAGAGAUCCGGAGGAACACCAGUGGCGAAGGCGACACGCUGGGCCGUACCUGACACUGAGGCGCGAUAGCAUGGGGGGCAAACAGG
rnacentral:rRNA from 1 species